AUCUAGAAUCUAGAGUAGGCAACAAAAGUUUUCUGUCAACUCUUGCUACUUUUGUCAAACGACAAACACAUAACAUAACGCGGUAUGUACCGACCUCGGCUAAGGUGCGUACCCCUUAUAUGCUAUACGUCGUUUUUCAAGGGUGCCAAAUUAAUUAGAAUCUAACUAAUAAAAUAGUGAAGACAUGAGUAAUGGCACAAUCAACACAAGACAAAGAUGAAACUGGAGUGUUGUUGUUCCAAGUUGCCGCCGCCGCGUUCAUCCUAGGCCAGAAUGAGGCGGUUGCGUUGCGUUGUUGUUCCUCCUCGGUGAGUAUUCAGUGUUGUUCGAUCUGGAAUGGAGAACGUGUUUUAUCAUGAUUUUCAUUGUUAAUAAUUUUAAGGAAGCGUGCCACAUCAUCGUCGACCUCUUCUGAACUAGACAAGAACACGCGUAUGUGUUUCAUUUCAAAAAAUGUAUACAAUUUUUAUUUUGAAACCAAUAAUUUGAUUAUUCUUAUUUUCUUUUUUAAAUUUCUCAACAUAUUAUAUCUGCGUUCUAUCAUGCUUUUGGAAACGAUUGGAAGUUGAUGUCUUUCCAAUAUAUUCCAAGCCGCCAUCAGAAGUUUAGAACUCGGCAAAAAAUUUCCUGUUAGGGAUAGAAAAACGAAAACCCUCCUGGAUGUAACUUUUGACGACCUUCCCCCAUACCUCAACAAUUGAUUUCAACUUUAGUUGUGGAUUAGAAUAGUUGAUUGCGUGUUUCUGUGGUAUACGAAAGAAUCUAGACAUUGUUUCAAUAUAGUGGUAUCAGUGUGAUUAGGAGCGCAAACAUGUUAGAGUAACUAAAGGUGAAAGUUCUGUGUACUCUGCGUAUUGUAGAAAUAGUCGUCUGUAUUUGCAUAAUAUUGGUUCCUAUCGCAAUGAUACAGCAAAACAAGAUCAAACUAAAAAAGAAAAAUAUUAAAAGCGGUAAACCAAAAUAUAGAGUCAAUAGUUACUACCUUCUUCACCUUGACUCUACAUUUCUAACAACACUAAUCUCAGACAAAUCCUACUAAGCUUAAGCAAUUCUCAAAUUUAUCCCUUAGAAGGGAUUUAGUCAACAUAUCAGUUGGAUUGUCUUCAGAUGCAAUCUUCACUAGUUUGAUUGCUCCUGAUUCCACCACUUCAUGAAUGAAGUGAUGCUUUACAUCAAUAUGUUUGGUCCUUGCAUGGUACAUAUGAUGAUUGGCCAAAUGAAUAGCACUUUGGCUAUCACAAUAUAUCUCGUCUCUUGUUCAAUUCCAAUUCAUGCAACAUCCUUUUUAGCCAUAAACCAUCCUUCACUCCUUCAGCCAGGGCAUUAUACUCAACUUCAGUGGUAGAUAGAACUACAACUGACUGGAAGUUUGAUUUCUAACUGACUGCAAUUCCAAACAAGGUAAGCACAUAUCCUGACAAUGAUUUUCUUGUGUCCAAACACCCUGCAAAAUCUGUAUCCAUAAACCCUUCGAUAACUGUUCCACCUUAGGGGUUCAUUUGAUAAAGUAAGCCUGAGUCCAGAGUUCCAUUUAUAUAUCUCAACAUCCACUUUAAAGCCUCCCAGUGUGCUUGACCAGGUUCCACCAUGAACCUGUCACUCACAGCAUGAGCCAAGUCUGGUCUUGUACAGACCAUUCCGUACAUGAUGCUUCCAACCCCACUAGUAUAGGGAACUACAUCCAUCUUCUUCCUAUCAUCAUUUGAUUUUGGCCUUGCCUUUUCGAGAGCUUCAUGUGCUGCCCCAAGGUCCAACCCACAGGUUUAGACUGAUGCAUCUUAAACCUCUCUACUACCUGUGGNNNNNNNNNNNNNNNNNNNNNNNNNNNNNNNNNNNNNNNNNNNNNNNNNNNNNNNNNNNNNNNNNNNNNNNNNNNNNNNNNNNNNNNNNNNNNNNNNNNNCACUCGAAUUUGAGUUUACUCUUUCCCAGAUUCUGAGUUUUCAAAAUACAUUCCCAUCUUUGUCUCAUCAAAUGUCACAUCUCUACUGAUGAUGAGCUUGGAAGGUUUUGGGUCCAACCUCCACAGCCUGUACCCCUUGACUCCUUUAGCAUUCCCGAGGAAUAGACAUUUUAUAGCUCGAGCUUUCAACUUGUCCUUCUUGACAUGUGCAAAUGUCAAGGCUCCAAACACCCUUAGGUUAGAGUAAUUUGCUGGACUUCCACUCCAAACCUCCAUUAGUGUUUUAUAUUCAAGGGCAGAUGAGGGACUCUGUUGAUCAAAUACACAGUUGUGUUUGUAGCUUCUCCCCAGAAAACCUUGGGCAAACCUGCUCCAAGAAGCAUGCAUCUCACUAUUUCCAGAAUGGUUCUAUUCAUCAUUUCUGCAAGGCUAUUUUGUUGAGGAGUACCAGCAACUGUUUUGUGCCUCUUGAUUCCAUGAUGUGUGUAGAAAGUAUUGAAUUGAUCUGAGACAAAUUCAAGUCCAUUGUCUGUCCUUAAGACCUUCAACUUGGUUCCUUGCUGAUUUUCAAUUUGAGUAUGCCAUUCCUUGAACUUCUGAAAUAUUUUAGCUUUGUUCCUUAGGAUGUAGACUCAUACUCUUCUUGAAUAGUCAUCGAUAAUGCUCAAGAAAUAGGAUCCAUCCCCAUGUGUUUGGAUCCUCGAUGGUCCCCAUAGAUCUGCAUGAGCAUACUCAAAGGCUCUGGUUGAAGUAUGCUUACAUGUCCCAAAUUUCACGCUGUGAGAUUUCCCCAUGACACACUGGUCACAAAAUUCCAAUUUAUGGAAUUUAUCACUCAUCAGCAAGUGUUGUUUUUCAAGUUAUGUCAAGCCUUUCUCACUGAUGUGGCCUAGCCGCAAGUGCCACAAUUUAGACUUAUCUUCCAUUGUCUGACUUGCAAUAGACACAUGCCUAAUUACUAUGGAUUCUUCUAGGAUGUACAACCCAUUGCUUCGCCUUCCCUUAGCAAUGAUUGAGGCUCCGGUGGACACCUUCAUCAUCCCAUUCUCAACAUUUGUAGUGUAUCCCAUAAGAUCAAACAUGCUUAUGGAGAUAAGGUUUCUCUUGAGCUCUAGAACAUACCUCACAUCCUGCAGCAGCAUUUCCCUAUUGUCAAACAUUCUCAGUCUGAUAGUCCCAAUGUCGUGCACCUUGCAAGCCUUGUUGUUCCUAAGAAGUACUGUUCCAUACUCCUUCUGUUCAAGAUCCUCAAAGUAAUCCUUUACAGGAUACAUAUGGUAUGUGCAUCCUGAGUUCAUGACCCAACUCUUCUAUGAAUUGUCAGUUGAAGCCACCAAGACCCCAACAGAUUCAUAUCCUUUAGACGCCUCUGCAACAUCUGCAGUUUCAAUAACCCGAGAGUCCUUGGUACCUUUCUCAGGACAGUGCUUCUUGAUAUGACCAACCUUUUGACACUUGAAACAUCGAACCUGCUUCUUGGUUUCAGGCUUCGACUUCUUCCAUUUACCUUCUCCCUUUUUUCCUUUAUAGUUGUUAGACCAGAUGACACCUCCUCUGUGAUCUUCGAAUCUUGGAGUUUUUGGAAUUCUUUGGUUCGAAUUGAGGUGACCACCUCCUCCAAGGUAAUUAACUUAUCCUUCCCAUACAAAAGAGCAUCUCUAAAGUGUUCGAAGGUUUUAGGUAAAGCGUUUAGAAGAAUGACAACUUUAUCUUCAUCUUCUAGUUUCACCCCUUCUAGUUUCACCCCGAUAUUCUCAAGAUCAUCAAUGUUCUUGUUGAAUUCUGCAAGUUGUUCCUCGAUCGUCCUUGACUCCACCAUCUUGAAUGAAUAGAGUUGUUGUUUGAGUCACAACUUAUGGGCCAAAGACUUGGUCAUGUACAGCGAUUCCAGCUUUGCCCAUAUUCCAGCUACAGUUUUCUCCUUUGCAACCUCCCUCGGUGCCUUAUCACCAAGACACAAUAUGAUUGCACUUCUGGCCUUAUCAAUCAUGCUCUUCUUCUUUGCUUGCGUUAAGGUUGAAGGCAUGUUCGACUCCCCUUUCAAUGCUUCAUCACAUCCUUGUUGAAUCAAGAUUGCUUCCAUCUUGAUCUUCCAUAGCCCGAAGUCAUUGGAGCCAGUGAACUUCUCAAUGUCAAACUUCGUUGUCAUUUCUUGAAUGAUCUUGUUAACCUUUGCGUGUGUCCCCACAAAUGACACCACUUGUUGGUUCAUAUUGCAAUGAUACAGCAAAACAAGAUCAAACUAAAAAGAAAGAUAUAUUCACAUAUACACAGAGAAGAUGAAUGAUAUUGUUAUUCUUCUAAGGAAUCAAUUUUUCACCUCUGCAUAGCAACAGAAAGGGGUUAUUUAUACAGCAGUAACCCCAGAGUUAUAAAAGUCACAACCGGUUACAAAGAAAUGUUAAAAGCAGUAAACCAAAAUAUAGAAUCAAUAGUUACUACACAUAAUGAUAAAAGUGUUUCGUUGUGAGUGUCGCCUUAUUACCCUUUCUUGUCUGUACUAUUAGACCUGGUGCUUACAGCACCCUUAAGCUAGAAAACACAAACUUAAGAUUGAAGCUGAACACAAGAGUAAGGAUAUUGUGAGCAAGAAAUCUCAUUUUCAUUUCAUAGAGGCAUUUCCCUUUUAUACAUUUAGCACAGGAUCUCUACACCAAACCCAAUUGCAGUAGAGUCCCUUUUACAGAAAUAACAGACAUAACAGAAAUAACAAACUAACUAACAAACAAGUACAGCUUAAUAAGGGACUGAAAUGAUAUCUAUAUCAAGCUCCAAGCUUCAACAUGUACUUGUGGUUUUUUUAUAGUUCUAUGGCUUCCGAAAAGUUUUAGCGGAAAGAUCAGCCGAACCAAUAAAAAAGUUAAAGUAUGAAACAAUCAUGGCCAUCGUGCUUAGAUGCGGAUCUCAGUAUCUCACAACAUAAACGCUGCACUUGUUUGCCAUUGUUGAACUGAGUUUAUUGUAUAUAUAUAUAUAUAUAUAUACACAUACAUAAAACAGAACCAUUGUUGAACCUGUUAGAAGCUCCACAAAGAAUCACAAUUUUCUUGUAGAAAUUCCAUUUAUUUAGAUCUAUGUAAAAAAAAAAAUACUACAAUUCAUGCUUUCAAUUCCCUACUCAUCACCACCCUCAAGUAGAAAAGAUCUAAACUUUGACCAUUUUUAUCUUCACCGUACUAAAAAAAGGUUACAACUUACAACCAAUUUUUGUACAAGAACAUCUGGGGACGAUUUUGAGUUCGCAUAACUCAAUCGGAAACCACUUAUAAAGUGCCAUGGUACCCUCGUCUUGAUCAUGGCCACCGGGUUCGCCGCCACGAAUCCAGCCGCGAAGCUCGCCGUGACGUGGGUCCUGAGCCCUUCACGUAUCAUACUGUUUUCCAAAAUCAUCUAUUUGAACUAGACGUACGAUGCGAGCGGCGACGCGGUCACGAGAAUGGCGUAGUUCACCGUACCGUAAGCAAUGUGGUGGAGACGCCGGAGACGGAGAAUAAAGGGGCGAAGUAGCGCCUGGGAGACUGUGUGUUGCCAACGACUUCUUCACUCUUCAGGCAAUGUGAAUUAGCGCGUGCUUGUCGACCAAACGGUGUAGAAAGGGUAAGUUUGAAAAAGAAAAUAAAUUUUAAAAUAUUGCCAGGUGUCAAAUUUUAACUUGAGUCGGAACAUCAUCAUUCGUACCCUUUCUUUUAGAAACUCAAGGAUUUCUCUCUCUCUUAUUAAAUAUCAGCUCUGUUUUCAAAUAAUCGCUAACUAACUCAAACUUAAAUCCUCCUAGCACUUAAAAAGUAAAAUAAAACACAUAUUUUGAAUGGAUUACUAUAUUAGUUUUAAGUACUUAUAUUAUAAGUAUUUAAUUUCAAUGCAUUAAGGCUUGAAAAUUCUUAAAAUACUUUAUUAGUCAGUCAAAUCGCAAAAAUUUAGUAAUGAGUCGUCAAAUUCUUUAGAGCGAAAUUUAUGACACAUAAUAUAUCAAAUUAAAUAGGUAAAAUAAAUAUUGAUUUAUAAACUUUUUUCAGUUUAAUUCCCCCAUUCCUUUUAACAUUUUAGCCUCUUUAUCUCUUUUUUGUUAUAAUUUAAACCUUUUUAUCGAGUUAUUGAUUUUAAUCACUUAAAAAAAGUUACAAUUGAUAAAUAAAAAAAACUAAAUAAUUGGUCCUUCCAAAAUAUUUCAUCCCAUUUUGAUCUCACUAAAAUUUUAAUGAGAUGUUAAUUUUGUUAAUAAAUGUAGUAUAUUUUUUUAGUCCGUAGGAAUUUUAGAAGAAACAAAUUAACAAAUUAACUAACAUAAUUAACAAUACUGGAUGAACAACAAUAAUGCUAAAAUUUUAGAAGGAAUAGAUAAGCAAAUAGUAACAUUUAAAUGUAGGAAAUAAAGAAUCUCACUGGACAGUUGACAUGCUACCAACAAUGACAUCUUUCAACUAUUUAACAUACAAUACAUAAACAGGUACAAAUGAAAUUAACACCAUAAGUACUAUACAAAGCUCUAAAGAUAAUUUAGAAUGCUUAAGAUUAUCAUGUAUGAGUUGAACCUUAUAUCAUUAAGGCCUAAAACAAAUUUUUGAGGUUUGCACUUAUUAAGGGUUUUUAGGCCCAAAAUCAAUCCGGGAAAAUGCAACUUGGAAUGCUUUCAACUUCCACAAGCCAAACACUCUUCUCGGUUUGUUAAAGAGCACACCAUCUGUGCCAUCUUGGUAUUAUCAUCCUCUUCCUCUGCCAUAGGUUUUUCCUGCACUCACAAUAGAAACAUUUAAUAUCAAAAUGUAUAUAAUUACAUGAAUAAGGAAGAUUGAUGACAAUGAAUUCUUAUUACAUGGAGCAUAGAGGUAUCAACAGUAAACUUGAUAGCAUCUGCUGCGGCACGUGAUCGCAGAUAAUACAUCCCAGUCUUCAAACCCUUUCAUGCCAAAUCAAAAAGCAAUAAACAUCAAUCAGUAAAAAGUAGGUCUGAAAUUUCCCCAAUAAGAGACCUAGUUUCUAAUAAUAUAAAAUCCACCUAGUAGUGUAUCUAGAAAUAAAAGGCAAUGCAGAAGAAAUAAACACAGCUGUAGGCAGUGUAUAGAUUUAUCUAUUUUUAAAUGUUCCUCUCUGAAAUCCAUUAUUACUAAAAGAUCCAACUGUGAAAGCAAACGUAAAUUUAACAUCAAAGAACAUACUACCAAACACACAAAAUCCUUUAUUAGAGACAACAUGAACACAAUCCAAUGAAAAAUGACAUUAACUAGACCCAAGGAAGAAGGUCGAUACCUUUGACCAUGCAUAGAAAUGCAAAGAAGUUAACUUUCCAAAGUUGGGUUGAUCCAUGUGAAUAUUCAAGCUCUGACUCUGGUCUAUGUAGCAUCCUCUAUCAACAGCCAUAUCAACCAAUGUCUUUUGCUUAAUCUCCCAAACAGUCCUGAAAAUUUCAAACUGAGUUUAGCAUAAACAUCUUAGAGCCAAGUUUGGGUAAGUAACAAAAUCACAAAUCUCAUACUUGUAUAUGAUUUUCAGAUCAUCAGGUAUUUCUGGGAUUUUCUGAACUGAACCAUCCUCAUAGAUAAUAUUAUUCUUGAUUGUAGGAGACCAAAGUCCCAUUUCAGUCAAGUCAUGAAGUAAAUGCUUGUUCACUACAACAAAUUCACCACUGAAAGACAAACAGUUAACAAUCAAGAUAGAUCAAUAAGAUAUCAAAACAUAAUAAGAUGAUAUGGCAAUAAACCUUAGAACUCUGCGGCUGUAGAUAUUAGAAGUAUAUGGCUCAAAACACUCAUUAUUGCCAAGAAUCUGGCUAGUUGAUGCAGUUGGCAUAGGGGCAACAAGAAGUGAGUUCCUCACACCCGUCUUUGCUAUCAUCUCCCGAAGUGCAUCCCAAUCCCAACGACUUGAGGGCAUCACACCCCACAUGUCUGGCUGAAGAAUUCCCUGCACAAUACAAAAAUCACCUAAGCCACUACAUACAAACAUCGUGGAUGUUUACAUUUCUAAUCAUAAGCCUAAAAAAUUAAGUUGAAUAUACAUGAGCAUUUCCAGUGCAUUAUGAAUAUAGCUCAGGACACUUAAAAAGACACAAGUAUAAAAACAUUUAACAGGAAUGUACCUUGCUUAUAGGACUACCACUAUAUGUUUCAUAGGGACCUUCUUUUGCAGCCAAUUCAGAUGAAGUUUUUAGUGCAUGAUAGUAUAUAGUCUCAAAUAUAUCCUUGUUCAACUGCUGAGCCUGCAUCCCAUGUCCAGGAAAACUAUCAAAUUGAUGAACCUCUAGCUUAAAUUGUAGAUGAAAAAGCAGUCCCAUAAAUGUUAUUUACCUCUGGUGAAUCAAAUGCCACACCUAGUAGUAUGAAGGUAUCGGCAAGACCCUGAACUCCAAUACCAAUGGGUCGGUGUCGCAUGUUUGAUCUUCUAGCAGUAUCAACUGGGUAGUAAUUAACAUCAAUUAUUUUAUUGAGGUUUGUUGCCACUAUUGCAGUAACCUAUAAUUAUCAGUCAUAUAAUGAUAAUGUCAAUACAUAUUGAAACACAUAAAGAACAACCAGUAUAGUGUUUAGUUCAAGAAUAACUAGAAAUUGUACCUCUCCCAGUUUGUCAAAGUCAAAAUAUCGGUUUUUUGAGCCUCUGCUUCCAACAAGCUUAGAUGGAUGAGAUUCCAUGGGCACACCCUAUGCAAGUGGAUAAACAUCCUAGAUCAGGAAUAACAAGUUGGCCUAUAGCUACCAAGAAAUCAAAUACGUCUGAUCCUAACACAUGAAGUAUGCCAGGGAUGUCCUACCUUCUCUCUUACAUAUCGCGGCAGGGCAAUCGAUGCCAAGUUGCACACAGCCGUUUCUGUUGGACUUGUAUACUCAAUUAUCUCAGUGCACAAGUUUGAUGACUUGAUUGUGCCCAAAUUCUGUUGGUUGCUUUUUUUAUUGCAAGUGUCCUAGGAUAUAGAAAAAGGAAGAGGUUUCAAUGAAAAAUAAAUACAAAAUGCACUGAAAUAGAAACCUAGCAAAAGUUAAACAUGCAUUUGUAAACCACCUUAAAAAGCAUGUAAGGAGUUCCAGUUUCUAUCUGGGACUUCAAAAUUUCAAACCAGAGAUUCUGUGCCUGAACAACCUUCUUUGCUUUUCCCUAUGUACACAUCAAUUUGGUUAGAAAAGCAAGGCAAUAAUAAGCAAAAGGAAUAUUCAAAACAUGCAAAACAUUAAAACAGGUCAACAUACAAAGACCAAAACUUACUUCUCUUUCAUAUUGAGUGUACAAUUUCUCAAAUUCUUCACCCCAGCAAUCAGCCAAACCUGGCGCUUCAUUGGGGCAAAACAAAGACCAUUGCCCAUUGCUCUGAACUCUUUCCAUAAAGAGAUCAGACACCCAAAGAGCAUAAAACAAAUCUCGAGCUCGAUGCUCUUCCUGCAUAAAUAACAACAUGUGGCUAUAUCAAUAAAAUAGAACUAUUCUUUAACUAGCAUGAACUAAAAACUAGGGUCAAAACUAAAUAAUGGGAACCAAAAUUGCUACUUUUUUAAAGACCCAUCAAUCAUACCUUUCCAUGGUUUUUCCUUAAAUCCAAGAAUUCAAAUAUAUCAGCAUGCCAUGGCUCCAGGUACACAGCAAAUGCACCUACAAGAAACACAAAAUGUGCAAGACAAUUUAUAAAUAUUCAUUAAAAUUACAAUGUAGAAAUUAUCAACAGUGUAAAUGAUUAUUUUACCUUUCCUCUUGCCUCCCCCUUGAUCAACAUAGCGAGCAGUAUCGUUGAACACACGCAGCAUUGGAACAAUACCAUUUGAUGUCCCAUUUGUGCCACGGAUGUAACUUCCUGUGGCACGAAUGUUGUGAACACUAACACCAAUUCCUCCAGCUGAUUUGCUAAUGACUGCACACUCCUUCAAAGUGUCAUAUAUUCCCUCUAUACUAUCAUCUUUCAUGCACACAAGGAAGCAACUACUCAACUGCCAAUGCACAUAAACAUAUCCAACUGCAUAAGGUCACCAUAGUAAUCUUACACAAUAAGGACAAAAAGCACACCACAUGCUCACAAAAAAAGGGAGACAUGGAGGGAAAGAGCAUUAACAGAAACUAUACCUGAGGCCUAGGUGUUCCUGCAUUGAAAAGUGUUGGAGAUGCAUGAGUGAACCAUCUCUGAGACAUCAUGUGGUAUGUUCUGACAGCAGAAUCAAUGUCAUCCUUAUGAAUUCCAACAGCAACCCUCAUCAACAUGUGCUGAGGCCUUUCCACAACCUUUCCUUGAACCUUCAAGAGGUAUGACCUCUCAAGAGUUUUGAAACCAAAGUAAUCAUAGUCAAAGUCCCUAUCAUAGAUUAUCUCACUGUCCAAUCGAGCAGCAUUCUAAAACAAAAUAGAAAACAAUACCAAAGUGAAUUUCACAUCAUACUAAAACACAGCCAAACAAAACUUAAAAGCAUAGAAUUACACCACACUCACACACACAGAGUAUAACUGUCAAUAAUCAGUAACUGUACUCAAACCACUCCAAGGCCUAUAUCUUCCAAUUUUGAAACAUAAACCAACUACAAUCAGAUAGUCAAACCUAUACGACACCAGAUCCAUCACACAUAAGAAACAUUCACAAAUGAAAACCACGAUUAUGUGGGUAAUCCAAUGGAAAAUAAACAACGCACAAACCGAAUUUCAAACAGCAACAAAUAGAAUUACCUUGAUGAUAAUUUCAUAGACGUCAUCAGCAAUCAGAGGAGCCUUCAUCGCAGAUCUCUCAUUAAAAUGGUAAUACAUAACCUUAAUCCUGAAACAGUCACAAUUCACCCACGGUAAAGAACAAUUCAUAACAAAACGCAGACACGGCUCUCCAUCACACUUACGUUUCAGAAAAUGACUUCUUCGUAUUCUUGUGCAGAUUUGAAACGGCAAUCCUCGCAGCCAACUGCACCAAACACAAAAUCACACAGAUCAGCCUUUAAGCCAUAAUAUGAACCACAAAAAAAGCGCGAGAAAAGAGAAGAAUCUCACAGAAGC
rnacentral:lncRNA from 1 species